GAGCGGCGUACGGGUGCGGAACACGUGUGCAACCUUGCCUUUAUCUGGGGGAUAGCCUUUCGAAAGGAAGAUUAAUACCCCAUAAUAUGUUGAAUGGCAUCAUUCGACAUUGAAAACUCCCGGUGGAUAGAGAUGGGGCACGCGCAAGAUUAGAUAGUUGGUGAGGUAACGGCUCACCAAGUCUACGAUCUUUAGGGGGCCUGAGAGGGUGAUCCCCACACUGGUACUGAGACACGGACCAGACUCCUUACGGGAGGCAAGCAGUGAGGAAUAUUUGGACAAUGGGUGAGAGCCUGAUCCAGCCAUCCCCGCGUGAAGGACGACUGCCCUAUGGGUUGUAAACUUCUUUUGUAUAGGGAUAAACCUACCCUCGUGAGGGUAGCUGAAGGUACUAUACGAAUAAGCACCGGCUAACUCCGUGCCAGCAGCCGCGGUAAUACGGAGGGUGCAAGCGUUAUCCGGAUUUAUUGGGUUUAAAGGGUCCGUAGGCGGAUCUGUAAGUCAGUGGUGAAAUCUCACAGCUUAACUGUGAAACUGCCAUUGAUACUGCAGGUCUUGAGUGUUGUUGAAGUAGCUGGAAUAAGUAGUGUAGCGGUGAAAC
rnacentral:rRNA from 1 species